GACGAACGCUGGCGGCGCGCUUAACACAUGCAAGUCGAGCGAGAACCGGAGCUUGCUCCGGGGACAGCGGCGAACGGGUGAGUAACACGUGGGUAAUCUGCCCUCGAUUCUGGGAUAGCCCGGGGAAACCCGGAUUAAUACCGGAUAGCCUUUCGAGCUCUCGAGCUUGAAAGAAAAGGUAGCUUCGGCCUCCGAUCGAGGAUGAGCCCGCGGCGGAUUAGCUUGUUGGCGGGGUAANGGCCCACCAAGGCGACGAUCCGUAGCUGGUCUGAGAGGACGAUCAGCCACACUGGGACUGAGACGCGGCCCAGACUCCUACGGGAGGCAGCAGUGGGGAAUCUUGCGCAAUGGGCGAAAGCCUGACGCAGCGACGCCGCGUGAGGGAAGAAGGCCU
rnacentral:rRNA from 1 species